rnacentral:lncRNA from 1 species
CUCUACUUGAGACAUGAUUUUUAAAAAAAACUAAGGAGUAGAAAAGGCAGAACUCAGAUUUUGGCAGACAAACCAACUAGCCAAGCAUACAACAUUUUUGUUCACUGAGGAGGAGUGGUGCCUUCACCUGAAGACCAUGAAGCCAAAGAUGCACUUCUCUUACACUGUGGAUUCCUGCUAUAUCGUUUUGUUCUGUCUUGCAUGAUUUGACUCUUAGUGUAUUACCUACGCAGAAAGCCACUAAAAA